rnacentral:rRNA from 1 species
UACGAAGGGGGCUAGCGUUGCUCGGAAUCACUGGGCGUAAAGCGCACGUAGGCGGACUCUUAAGUCGGUGGUGAAAUCCUGGAGCUCAACUCCAGAACUGCCUUCGAUACUGAGAGUCUCGAGUCCGGGAGAGGUGAGUGGAACUGCGAGUGUAGAGGUGAAAUUCGUAGAUAUUCGCAAGAACACCAGUGGCGAAGGCGGCUCACUGGCCCGGUACUGACGCUGAGGUGCGAAAGCGUGGGUAGCAAACGGG